UACGUAGGUGACAAGCGUUGUCCGGAUUUACUGGGCGUAAAGAGCGCGCAGGCGGUCGAUCAAGUCGAGUGUGAAAGCCCCCGGCUCAACUGGGGAGGGUCAUUCGAUACUGAUCGACUCGAAGGCAGGAGAGGGUAGUGGAAUUCCCGGUGUAGUGGUGAAAUGCGUAGAGAUCGUAAGGAAGACCAGUGGCGAAGGCGGGUCUCUGGACAGUUCCUGACACUGAGGCACGAAGGCCAGGGGAGCAAACGGGG
rnacentral:rRNA from 1 species